GACGAACGCUGGCGGCGUGCUUAACACAUGCAAGUCGAACGGUGAAGCGCCUUCCUUUUUGGUGGGUGUGGAUGAGUGGCGAACGGGUGAGUAACACGUGAGUAACCUGCCCCCUUCUUCUGGAUAACCGCAUGAAAGUGUGGCUAAUACGGGAUAUUCUGGGUCUGUCGCAUGAUGGGUCUGGGAAAGAUAUUGUUUCGGUGGGGGAUGGGCUCGCGGCCUAUCAGCUUGUUGGUGGGGUGAUGGCCUACCAAGGCGGUGACGGGUAGCCGGCCUGAGAGGGUGGACGGUCACACUGGGCCUGAGCCACGGCCCAGACUCCUACGAGAGGCAGCAGUGGGGAAUAUUGCACAAUGGGCGCAAGCCUGAUGCAGCGACGCCGCGUGAGGGAUGGAGGCCUUCGGGUUGUGAACCUCUUUCGCCAGUGAAGCAGGCCUGCCUCGUUUGUGGGUGGGUUGACGGUAGCUGGAUAAGAAGCGCCGGCUAACUACGUG
rnacentral:rRNA from 1 species